AGAGUUUGAUCAUGGCUCAGAGCGAACGCUGGCGGCAUGCUUAACACAUGCAAGUCGCACGGGCAGGGGUAACUCUGUCAGUGGCGGACGGGUGAGUAACGCGUAGGUAUCUAUCCUUGGGUGGGGGACAACCGUGGGAAACUACGGCUAAUACCGCAUGAUAACUGAGGUUUAAAGGCGCAAGUCGCCUGGGGAGGAGCCUGCGUACGAUUAGCUAGUUGGUGGGGUAAAGGCCUACCAAGGCUGUGAUCGUUAGCUGGUCUGAGAGGAUGAUCAGCCACAUUGGGACUGAGACACGGCCCAAACUCCUACGGGAGGCAGCAGUGGGGAAUAUUGGACAAUGGGCGCAAGCCUGAUCCAGCAAUGCCGCGUGUGUGAAGAAGGUCUUCGGAUUGUAAAGCACUUUCGGCGGGGACGAUGAUGACGGUACCCGCAGAAGAAGCCCCGGCUAACUUCGUGCCAGCAGCCGCGGUAAUACGAAGGGGGCUAGCGUUGCUCGGAAUGACUGGGCGUAAAGGGCGCGUAGGCGGAUGGUACAGUCAGAUGUGAAAUUCCCGGGCUUAACCUGGGGGCUGCAUUUGAUACGUGCGAUCUGGAGUGAGGAAGAGGGUCGUGGAAUUCCCAGUGUAGAGGUGAAAUUCGUAGAUAUUGGGAAGAACACCGGUGGCGAAGGCGGCGACCUGGUCCUUGACUGACGCUGAGGCGCGAAAGCGUGGGGAGCAAACAGGAUUAGAUACCCCCGUAGUCC
rnacentral:rRNA from 1 species